ensembl:lncRNA
GGUCUAUUCUGGGUUGGCCUUGAGCUCACUGUGUAGCCCAGGCUGGCCUCAAACUCACAGCAAUCCACCUGCUUCAGCUUCCGCAGUGCUGGGAUUACAGGCAUGUGCCACCACACCCAGCAGAAAUUUUAGAAAUGGAUGUAACCUUUCUGCAAAAGAAGUGCCACCCCAGGGACCCCGCCCUGGUGAUCUUGUCGAACCCUAGUGACCUCCCAGAGGCUCCACCUUCAAAUACCAUCAGUGCACAAAUUUGAGGACUAGAUUUCUAACAACUGAAGUUUGGAUGACGCAUUCGAACUAUGACAGAGGCUAAAACAACUUAAGUAGUGAUCGAGGGAAAGACACAAACAGAAGCCCUUGGAGACGGGCAGACGGGGCAAGAGCUUAAAAAAAAUCUGGAAAGGAAACUGAGGAAGCAGAAAGGCAAAGACUUGACAAAUGAGAGGAACAAGAGGAUGAGCCAGAGGAUCAGAUGCGGGAGCAGCCACGGAGUGAGAUGCAGGCUGUGAGGGAAAAGACAGAGAGGGAGCGGAGGGAGGAGACGAAGACAAAGCUGCGCCCGGCACCCCCUGCCGGUCCUUUCCAGGGACACAGCUUCCUGGUGAGCUUCGCAAACUUGGAGAAACACCACGGACUCUUUUUUCAGUACCAGGGGCCAAACUCAGGACCUUGCAUUUGGGAGGCAGGCGCGGUACCACUGAGCUAGACCCCAGCCCAGCACCACCGGACUCUGACCGUCACUUUCCCUAUCCACUGUUCCCUUGCUGCAGUGGACACGGGCAGCAUUUUACAAUGCGGCCGACCCGUGGGGUGACCUAGGGUCCCCUUCCCCUCCUCCUCCUCCUCCUCCUCCUCCUCCUCCUCCAGCUCCUAUUCCUUCUUCCCCUUCCCCUUCCCCUUCCCUUUCUCCCUCGCUGUGUCCCUCUCCCUCUCCUUUUCCUUCUUCGCCUUCUUCUUCUUUUUGAGCCAGGGUUUCUCCGUGUAGUUCAGGCUGGCCUUGAACUCACUGUGUAGCCCAGGCUGGCCUCAGACUUGUGGUAAUACUCCUGCCUCGGUCUCCCGAGGGCUGGCAUCACAAGCGCCCACCCCAUGCCCGCCUUCUGCUCCUUUAGGAAAUGUGAUGUCGUCGUUUCAGAACAUCCACCCCAUGCUGACCAAGGAGCAAUCUACCCACCAGCACAAUGAAAAGCACUGCACAUCUUUCGGCUGCAGAUGCGAGGAUGAAGAAGGGAGCGAGUGAGGGAGGACAGGGAGGCUGGUGACUUAUACGCUCUCUAUAGAAUGAAUCUCCCUUGUUCUAAUACUGGGGACAAUCGAAAGCCGUCUGCUUUGAGCCAUUUAGCACAUACAGUAGGCUUAUAAAGGACCACUCAGGUCCGGGGAGCUGAACUCAGGUUACUUACAUCAGACUUGCAGAAGUGUCACCAUUGUGCCAGGCUUCAGGAGUGCCCUUGAGAGCACAGUGUCCUAGGGAGGGAGCUGCCAGCUGAACCCAGCAGAGCCCAGCCAUCUAACAUUCAGGGCCUGGUGAGGGAAGGCCUGCCGCGUGUCAGGUCAUUGUCCACACUCAGCUCCCAUCCCAUAUGGAUCAGGGAGUUGGAUUCUGCCCCAGACUUCUGUGAGAGGUGUGUGCUAACACUUAGCUCCAGGCCUGCGUGAAAUAGGCUUCGUCCUUCUCCCAUAGUUUUCUAUGCAUAGCUACCCAAUGGCAUUAUCUAUAAAGGUGAGAUCAGAACAUUGUAGAUCCUGAGGUGGAAGCCUCUCCACAUGGGCUUCUGCAGCCCUGUGUCCUAACCCAGGCUUGAGGUAGACAACGGUGGAGCCAGCAGCAAAGACGCCCCAGGGUCUCUGUGCCCCUGAGUCCUAGCCCUCACCUGGACACACCCACGGAAGCUGGGCUUGGAGCCAGUCUCCUGACCGGUCGACUCGACGGAGGUGGGGGUGCUGUCCCAUCAAGGAGGAGGGAGGCUGGGAUUUGCAUAUCCUAGUGAGAAGAUUUUGGUUCCCUUCAUGAGGGAAUUCACUUGCAUGUAGGCUUGGGACCAAGAUGUGAAGAAAAGGAAGAAAUGAUGAUCUUCAUGAAGACAUUUGCAGAACAAUUGCAGUGUUUUAAUUUUCUUGCAAGAUUUCACAGAAACUCUCUUUUUGCAAUCAAAGGAUUAGCUGCCCUGAGAACCAGGAGGACACCUGCAAGAGUUGUGCUGUGCGGGGCUCUCAGCAUGAAGACGAGGCUCCUGCUUCCCUCCACACGGACCUCAGAUGGAGAAAGUGAAGGUCCUUGGGCUGUUUCUGGGGUGAGGGGCUGGGGGCCUCCGCAGCAUGAGCAGGUGCUGAGACUCAGCAGGGCUCUUGGUGCUGGUGGGGCAGUGCUCAGCUGGGGCAGGACAGGAUGGGGCUUCCUUUCUCCUGCCACAGCUCUGCCUUUAGGUCCACAGGCCUAGGUCAGCGCCCUGCCCACCUGCUCCAUACCACACGCUGUCUGGGAGGACCAGGUGCCUCAGACUCCUGUAGUUGGGACCACCCGGAGGGUGCAAUUCAAUUAUCUUGGGCUUCAGAGACCCACAGAAUCCACCACCCGGCCCCCACUCCCUAGCCAGGUAAUUAAAUGAAUGAUGCAAAAAAGGAAAAAGGAUUGGUCAAGCUUUUUUGGAUGUAACUGAAAAGCAUACUUUCUCAUCUUUUAUAUUCAUCCCAACAAAGGUAACCCUAUUUUAAAGCCCUGUAUUUGUAUCCUGUGUGACCGAGACUAAUUUAACCCAAAGUAAGACAAGCGUCACGCUCCGCCUGAGGCCAGCGGCCGCUCCUGCCUCUUGUGAGCAUCACUCACCUCAAACUCUCACACAUUGUAAUACUCGAGAAGCUUAGGCCUGGAAGGGCUGUGUCUCCGUGGGUCGACCCAGGAGACUUUGCACAGAAUUGUCCCUUUACAUGAAGUCAGUGUCAGGCACAGCCAAAAGUUUUUGGGUUACCUCUUUGUAAAUCAACAGUUGAGAUUGUUGUUGUGCGUACGUGGGUGUGGCUGGAAUCAAAUGCCCUCUGUGACCAACAGUUCUUUCUUCACACUGCACUGCUUUCAUGCUGGUUCUCAUGAAUAAAACAUAUUCACAUGA